rnacentral:snRNA from 1 species
AGUUUUGUGCAGUGGCGGUAUCAUAGCCAAUGAAGUUUACGUGAGGUACAAUUACUGCUAUUUGUAAGACAAAACAAAACAAAGUACCUAUGAGCUUUGGCAUUUUGCAACCCCUUCAAAUGUGUCAUCAUA